rnacentral:rRNA from 1 species
CACGUAGGGCGCAAGCGUGUCCGGAAUUAUUGGGCGUAAAGAGCUCGUAGGUGGUUUGUUACGUCUGCUGUGAAAACCUAGGGCUUAACCCCUGGGCUUGCAGUGGGUACGGGGCAGACUAGAGUGUGGUAGGGGAGACUGGAAUUCCUGGUGUAGCGGUGGAAUGCGCAGAUAUCAGGAGGAACACCGAUGGCGAAGGCAGGUCUCUGGGCCAUUACUGACACUGAGAAGCGAAAGCAUGGGGGAGCGAACAGG